rnacentral:rRNA from 1 species
CCCUUAGAUGUCCGGGGCUGCACGCGCGCUACACUGAAUGAAUCAGCGUGCUAGAAAACCUUGUUUGACAUGGCUAGGUAACCCAUUGAAAAUCAUUCGUGAUUGGGAUCGGGACUUGCAAAUGUGUCCCUUGAACGAGGAAUUCCCAGUAAGUGCGGGUCAUCAGCUCGCGUUGAUUACGUCCCUGCCCUUUGUACACACCGCCCGUCGCUCCUACCGAUUGAAUGGUCCGGUGAAGCGUUUGGACUAUGGUUUUCUGACGGUUCGCCAUUGGAUUACCGUGGGAAAUUCGUUAAACCUUAUCAUUUAGAGGAAGGAGAAGUCGUAACA